UUAGUCAAUCCGUUGGCCUCUAAUCAGGCCAUUCAAUCCUCACUCGUUACAAAAUUGCCUAUUCCAUCGAAAUUGAACAAUUCAUUAACAAUAUUUUUCCUAAACCCAGUUCCUCCACAUAAUCACCCUAAAACUUGGCUGCAUAUUUGACACAAUUUCACUCUUUACAUUUCAUUUUAUAUACAUUUUUCUUCUCUCAAUAGUCAAUUCUAUUGCAUUGAAUUAAUUUAUUUCAAGUAUCAUAAAGAAUGAGUUUUUCAGCAACUGAUCUUUCUUUUGGACUAUCAUCAUCUUCAAUCACUUUACAAUCAAUAAAACCCCACAAAAUUUCCAACCCAUUUGACAGUUUACCCUUUUCCAAUUUUCAAAUACCCUCAAAUUUAAGGCUUCAAACUACUAGUAAAAGGAGUUUAAUCCUUCAUUCUUCAAUGGCAGAAAGUGGGGUUUCUCCAGAAUCUUCUGUAAUGGCGGAGGAGAGAGAAAAUGUUGCCAUUAAUCCUGUUUAUGUUCCUACUCCCCCAAAUCGUGAGCUUCGGCCUCCUCAUAGUGGGUAUCAUUUCGAUGGAAGUCCUAGGCAAUUUUUUGAGGGCUGGUAUUUCAAGGUCUCUAUUCCAGAAAAGAGGCAAAGCUUCUGCUUCAUGUAUUCAGUUGAGAAUCCUGCAUUCCGCAAGAAAUUGACCCCUGUAGAAGAAGCAAAAUAUGGCCGUCGAUUUACUGGAGUUGGAGCUCAGAUUCUUGGUGCUGAUGACAAGUACAUUUGCCAGUAUUCGGAAGAAUCACAGAAAUUCUGGGGUGACAGGCAUGAGCUAAUGUUGGGACAUACAUUCAAAUCUAGUGGAAGUUCACAGCCUCCCACCAAAGAGGUUCCUCCAGAGGAAUUCAAUAGGAGUGUGUCUGAGGGUUUCCAAGUGACCCCACUUUGGCAUCAAGGGUUCAUCUGUGACGAUGGCAGGUCAGACUAUGUUGAAACAGUGAAAACAGCUCGCUGGGAGUAUAGUACUCGUCCUGUAUAUGGCUGGGGCAAUGUCAGUUCAAAACAAAAAUCCACUGCGGGCUGGCUUGCUGCUUUUCCUGUUUUUGAACCUCACUGGCAAGUAUGCAUGGCAGGGGGACUGUCAACAGGAUGGAUAGAGUGGGAUGGUGAAAGAUUUGAGUUUGAAAAUGCUCCUUCAUAUUCAGAAAAGAAUUGGGGUGCAGGUUUCCCCAAAAGAUGGUUUUGGGUCCAGUGCAAUGUCUUUGAGGGUGCUAAAGGAGAAGUCGCUUUGACUUCUGCAGGAGGGUUGAGAGAGCUUCCUGGUGGAAGAAUUGAGAACGCAGCUUUGGUUGGUGUGCAUCAUGCUGGAAUUUUCUAUGAAUUUGUACCAUGGAAUGGGUUUGUUGAGUGGGAGAUUGCACCAUGGGGCUACUGGAAAAUUUCGGCUGAUAAUGGAUCAUACCUGGUGGAAUUAGAGGCGAGAACAGAGGAUCCAGGAACACCCUUGCGUGCUCCUACCCCAGAACAUGGCCUUGCUGUUGCAUGCAGAGACACCUGUUUUGGUCAACUGAAAUUGCAACUGUGGGAACGAAGAUCUGAUGGUAGCAAGGGAAAGGUUAUCUUGGAGGUUACCAGUAACAUGGCGGCUGUGGAGGUAGGUGGCGGACCAUGGUUUGAGGCAUGGAAAGGAAGAACGACAACCCCGGAGAUCCUAAGCGCUGCUCUCAGGGUUCCGAUAGAUAUGGAGUCAGUUUUUGGUUGGGUUCCAUUUUUGAAACCUCCUGGCCUUUGAAGCCACAGGACAUUAGUUCUGUCUAGUGCAGUGGCUGAUCUAUACAAUGUCUUGAGAAUUAGUGUAUGAUUUCCGACUUUUUGUAUAGGUACAAGUACAAGGAAUUCAGGAGCACCUGUGUAAAAUGUGUAACAAAGUGUACCCUAAAAAUUGCGGAUGAAUGAGGGUUUGCAACAGUAGAAAUGUUCUUUUCAACCCAUUUAAUUGCGGAUGAUUAUGGGUUUGCUCGAAAUCUUCAUUUUCAACUCAUUUAUUUUUCUUUAAACAUUAACUACAAUUAUGACCCACAUACAUGUACGCGUCAUCAAUAGAAUAAUUUGAUGAUUUGAUAACUACACAAGAACACAACAGUAUGUUAUUGGUAGGCUAGGGUUUUUUUUUUUUUUAGGAUGCCCACUCGGUUCCUCAGAGUCUAGUUCCAACUACAACCGGAAUUGAUCCGGGUUGCAGACCUAGCUUAUGGUGGGUGAGUCUCCUAACAAUAAUUUUUGCAUACGGCAAGACUUGAACCGUGACCUCCCUUAAGUGACAUCAAGUUGCUUAUUACUUAAACCAACUCUUGUUGAUUG